rnacentral:tRNA from 1 species
GGCGCCGUAGCGAAGAAGUUUACGCAGCGGUCUGCAAAACCGCUUACGCCGGUGCAAUUCCGGCCGGCGCCUCAA